CGGGUGGAUGACUUCGCAAUUUUAAUUCCAUUUAAGAUCUGACUGAAAAUUGCACAGUAUCCAUCUGUA
ensembl:miRNA gmo-mir-363 gmo-mir-363